rnacentral:lncRNA from 1 species
AAAGAAGAGAAAAGAAAUCCUCUUGCAGACAUAGCCAGAGGUUAGUUUCCAUGGUGAUACUAAGUCCCAUCAAGUUGGCAAUCAAGAUUAGUCAUUGUGGGGGUCUAGAAAAAGGUCAGACAUUGCCCUAGUGACUUCUUACCCAGUCUGCCUGGAGCCCCUUGAGAGCUAUUAACUGGGAAAAGGCUAGAACCCUUAAGCACGUCACCAGUUCCUAAGUCCAUUGUUGCUUCAGGGGCUGGCCCAAGUGGCUGAAGUUCUGAAAAUCAUUAACACAUGAGUGGAAGAAAGAAAGACUCUUUAGCUGUUGUCAGUGGAAAGUUGAGGUUGUUGGGGGCAAGGGGAAUUGAAUAUGGUCACUGCCUUAGGUACACUGGAGGGACAGGACCAAAAGUCAAGGGUCCCAUGCUGCAUUGUGAAUGGUCUCCCUUUAAAUACAGG